rnacentral:rRNA from 1 species
GACGAACGCUGGCGGCGUGCCUAAUACAUGCAAGUAGGACGCAGUUGCGAACGGGUGAGUAACGCGUAGGUCACUGCCUAUUAGAGGGGGAUAACUAUUGGAAACGAUAGCUAAUACCGCAUACUAGUAGAUGGACCUGCGUUGUAUUAGCUAGUAGGUUGGGUAAUGGCCUACCUAGGCGCCGAUACAUUGCCGACAUGAGAAGGGGAUCGGCCACACUGAGAAGUAGACACGGCCCAGACUCCUACGGGAGGCAGCAGUAGGGAAUUUGGGGCAAUGGGGGGAACCCUGACCGGGCAACGCCGCGUGAGUGAAGAAGGUUUUCGGAUCGUAAAGCUCUGUUGUUAAGGAAGCGGUACUUAACCAGAAAGGGACGGCUAACUACGUGCCAGCCGCCGCGGUAAUAC